ensembl:lncRNA
GUGAUUGUAACAAAAACAAAUUGCAAAACUGCAUUCUGUAAUUUACUUUUUUAUAAUGUUUAUUCUGUUCUUUCACUUUACACAACAGUGUAUUAAAAUUAAAUUAACUGCAAUUAAUUUGAUAAAUUAAUCUGUAUAUCAAACAAUAAAAUUAUAAAAAUAACCAUAGAUGUAGAGUGUCCAACCAAAUGAUUGGUCAUUGGAGAGUAAGCUGAAUAGGGGCUUUUCUCUCUUUGAUUGCUCUUAUGAAUUCUGACACUCACCCAUGUUAAAGCAACACAGCCAAUAUUAUAUGUAACAGGACCAUUUAAAGUUAUUAAUAAUACAGGAAGGGUGAUUGUGUGUGUUUUGAGCGUCUGCGCUCCCAGAGGGCCUCGUAAAACAGAUGUGUUCUAUAUCCACAUCUCUUUGAUUUGUUUCCCCAUCAUUUACAUACACACAUGCACCAGCGUGCAAAUUCAUGUACAUACUUGCACUCAGGCACACGCGCACGUGUCAUGUGACCACACUGGAGUCUCCUCUGAGUUCUUUGUGUGUAGCCUCUCAUGCUGUCACACUCGUGUGUUCCUGUACGUGUGUGUACGUUCUCUGUUGCUCCUGCAUAUCUGCACACACACACACACACAUGCUGCGUGGGCUUUGUGUGGGUGGAGAAAGUGGAGAACAAUGAUGGGUUCUCUUGUCUGUCUGGUCGCUUGCAGGACGUGUGUGUAUGUGUGUGUGUGUCUCCAGUGUUCUGAUGCAUUUACACAAAGCAGUCAGAAUGGCGCUUCCUGAAUGAUGUUACACAACACCAUGUGGACCCUCUAAACUAGUACCCGCCCACAGUAAUGGCUCUCCAGUCUGCUGUCAAUCAAAAUCUACUUCUACAAGAUGACUGAUUUUAUCAUGUACCAUGCUGCUCAACAGAUUUUUGUCCUUAUGGAUUUUUUUAAUAGCGAUGAUGAUUAGGCAGGAUCGUGAUGCGGGGAGGAGGGGACAGGAAUGGCUGCAGAAUGACUUGCAUUUUGUGAAUCCUACAGGGAGGACUAUAAUCAUAGUGGGACUAAUUAGCAGAAGACGACUUUAAAGGACUUUCUCAAGCAUUUCCAGUGAAUGUCCUCACCAUCCGUCUGCUCAGUUUAGCAGUCUUUGCUGCUUUCUAUAUAA